rnacentral:pre_miRNA from 1 species
CUAUGCUAUCCAUGUAAUUUAUCGAAGAAUAUAACAGACUGAUCACACCUGACUACUCAAAAUCACUCGUUAUCGCAGGCGCGACUACAUAAGACCCGGUUGAAAUUCCCCUGCCGGGAAACCUUUUUAAGCAAA